rnacentral:rRNA from 1 species
AAGGCUUCAGCAUGUCCCAGCCAGAACUAUAAGUCUCUAAGCCCCGAUGAGUAGGGUGGCGUGCCGGUGUGCGAAGAAGGCUAUGACGUGAGUCGGGCUGGAGCCGCCGGUAGUGCAGAUCUUGGUGGUAGUAGCAAGUACUCUGGUGAACAACCUGGAGCUGUGAGGUCUGGAUUAGGGUUCCAUGUCAACAGUGAUUGAACAUGGGUGAGUCGAUCCUAAGCCAACUGUGAAAGCAGUGACAUCCCGACAAAGAAGGGAGGCACUACGUGCACCCGCUCGUACGCCGACCCGAUGAACUCAGGCUCUCUGUUGCGCGCUGAACGGCACACACAGGGAUCACCGCACAUCAACAAAUGGCGGUGUUAGUGUGUGCAAGUCUGUGAGAUAGUGGAGGAGUAGCUGAACUCACUCUCUAUCAAUACGCUCGUAUUAGGCGUUUAAAGUCNUUUUUUUUUUUGGUCUNUCUGGNAAGCNCCCNUCCCNCNCNAACAAAAANUUUUUNAAAUCNGGGNAACNNGNGGGNACGAGAUUAUUCUCACCUUGCAUGCUCGCCUUUAAACCUUUGGCCUCGGUUCUAUGUCUGGCGAAAGGGAAUGGGGACUUUGUUUCCUUGACCGGUCCCGGCACCCUCGAUAGGCUUUCGCCAAUCUAUGGUCCAUGCAAAUGGAACCAGGCCACAGCCGCCGGCAGUCGCCCGAGGAAGAGUUUUCUUUUCUGCUUAACGCGCGAGGCCAUCCCUGGAAACAGUUCGGCUUGCGAAAGGGUGCCCCGUUGCGGCAGAGCGCCACGACUGUCGUGCGCGUCUCGGUGUACCUGCCGGUCCGUGAAGACGUGGUCGAGGGAUGCUGCGCUUGUAUCAACGAAACGUCCGACGAGUUCGGGACGGACCGUACCCUAUAUCCGCAUCUGGUAUCCAAGGUUCGUAGCCUCUGCAGAGUCAGACACAUGUAGGUAAGGGAAGUCGGCAAACUCGAUCCGUAACUUCGGAAAAAGGAUUGGCUCUGAGGGCCGAGCUGGGCCGGGCCUUGCCUGCUAAGCAGUACCUAUAGUGACCGGAGUUUCAGGAGUGCGAGGGGCUCUAGUAGCUGUUCGCGCGUUCGCGCGUGGACACGAACGAGUCCACCUCUCCGCUCCAACCGCGAACGGCUGUGACGGCAAGGGCUCUGGGCGGGAGCUCUCAAACCGCCUACCCCCAGCGAGUCUGGGCCGGAGCCGGUGCUUCGUCUGUCCCAUACGGCUCCAGCGGCUAGCGGCCAACUCAGAACUGUCAUGGACGAAGGGAAUCCGACUGUCUAAUUAAAACAAAGCGUCGCGACGGCCCCUGUUGGGUGCUGACGCGACGUGAUUUCUGCCCAGUGCUCUAA